rnacentral:rRNA from 1 species
AGAGUUUGAUCCUGGCUCAGGACGAACGCUGGCGGCGUGGAUUAGGCAUGCAAGUCGAACGGUAGAUAUUCCUUCGGGGAUAUUGAGAGUGGCGAACGGGUGAGUAACACGUAGAUGAUCUACCCUCAAAUGGGGGACAACCCAGGGAAACUUGGGCUAAUACCGCAUGAGUGCAGUGCUUAGGUAUUGCAUAAAAGGUGGCUUUCGGGCUGUCGUUUGGGGAUGAGUCUGCGUCCUAUUAGCUAGUUGGUGUGGUAAUGGCAUACCAAGGCGAUGAUAGGUAGGCGGCCUUAACGGGUGGUCGCCCACACUGGGAUUGAGAUACGGCCCAGACUCCUACGGGAGGCAGCAGUCGAGAAUAGUCUACAAUGGACGAAAGUCUGAUAGUGCGACGCCGCGUGAACGAAGAAUCCCUUCGGGGUGUAAAGUUCUUUUAUAUGUGAGCAAUGGUUUAUAUGUGAACAGCAUAUAGGCAGAGAUAUUAGCAUAUGAAUAAGCAACGGCUAACUCCGUGCCAGCAGCCGCGGUAACACGGGGGUUGCAAGCGUUGUCCGGAAUUACUAGGCGUA